GAGUUUGAUCCUGGCUCAGGGAUGAACGCUGGCGGCGUGCCUAACACAUGCAAGUUCGAGCGAGACGGUUAUGAAUGAUUCUUCGGAUGAAUGAUUAACUAGAAAGCGGCGGACGGGUGAGUAACGCGUGGGUAACCUACCUUAUACACAGGGAUAGCCAUUGGAAACGAUGAUUAAUACCUGAUAAUACUGAUUCACCACAUGGUGUUUUGGUCAAAGAUUUAUCGGUAUAAGAUGGACCCGCGUCUGAUUAGUUAGUUGGUGAGGUAACGGCUCACCAAGACUACGAUCAGUAGCCGACCUGAGAGGGUGAUCGGCCACACUGGAACUGAGACACGGUCCAGACUCCUACGGGAGGCAGCAGUGGGGAAUAUUGUACAAUGGGCGCAAGCCUGAUGCAGCAACGCCGCGUGAACGAUGAAGGCCUUCGGGUCGUAAAGUUCUUUUCUUAGGGAAGAAAAUUGACGGUACCUAAGGAAUAAGCACCGGCUAACUACGUGCCAGCAGCCGCGGUAAUACGUAGGGUGCAAGCGUUAUCCGGAAUCACUGGGCGUAAAGGGUGCGUAGGCGGCCUUGCAAGUCAGAAGUGAAAGGCUACGGCUUAACCGUAGUAAGCUUUUGAAACUGUAAGGCUAGAGUGAAGGAGAGGAAAGUGGAAUUCCUAGUGUAGAGGUGAAAUUCGUAGAUAUUAGGAGGAAC
rnacentral:rRNA from 1 species